GUGCCCACUUAAGCGGCACAUAUACUAAAAUUGGAAUAAUACACAGAUCCAAUUAGCAUGACCCCUGUGCAAGGGUGACAUGCAAAUUUGUGAAGCAUUCCAUAUUUUU